CGUCUUCUAUUUACGCCUGGUUGCUCAACUCGAGUUGCUCGGAGCUGAUUUUCCGUGUUCUAUUUACGCCAAGCAACACGGGUUGGGGCAACUGUAGUUGCUCGGAGGGGCAACCACAGCAACCACGCUCGGGACAGUGGUUGGUCGAGGUGGUGUCUGGCAACCCCAUCGUGGUUGCAGAUCAGCUGAUACACCAAGGCGUCCCUUAAGUUAUAAAUGUCCUUUCUGUACUUUGGUGGCACCAACUAGUACCUACAUUAUUGAUCAUCAAGUGUUUGCCCACUCACACCUUGUUCAACAGAGAGAAGAUGCACUGAUUGUAGAAGUAUCAGGCUCACAAGGUGAUGUCUCUGAGUCGCCUGAUGAACCGUUAACUCUUGAAGUGACAUGUGAAGGAACCCCUCACCCCUUUGAGGGAAGUACACAAUUUGCCUCAUGGGAACUUCACAGCAUUACAGUGCAGGCAGAAGUGGAGUAACCUGUUGAAG